rnacentral:rRNA from 1 species
UGAGAAUCUGCCCUUUAGUGAAGGAUACUCCCGAGAAAUUGGGCUUAAUACUGCAUACGUCCCUACGGGGAGAAAGGUGGCUUUAUGCUGCCGCUAAAGGAUGAGCUUGCGUACUAUUAGCUAGUUGGUGGGGUAAAGGCCUACCAAGGCGAUGACGGUUAACCGGCCUGAGAGGGCGAUCGGCCACACUGGGACUGAGACACGGCCCAGACUCCUACGGGAGGCAG